rnacentral:rRNA from 1 species
GAUGAACGCUGGCGGCGUGCCUAAUACAUGCAAGUCGAGCGAACAGACGAGGAUCUUGCUCCUCUGACGUUAGCGGCGGACGGGUGAUGAACACGUGGAUAACCUACCUAUAAGACUGGGAUAGCGUCGGGAAACCGGAUCUAAUACCGGAUAAUAUAUUGAACCGCAUGGUUCAAUAGUGAAAGACGGUUUUGCUGUCACUUAUAGAUGGAUCCGCGCCGCAUUAGCUAGUUGGUAAGGUAACGGCUUACCAAGGCAACGAUGCGUAGCCGACCUGAGAGGGUGAUCGGCCACACUGGAACUGAGACACGGUCCAGACUCCUACGGGAGGCAGCAGUAGGGAAUCUUCCGCAAUGGGCGAAAGCCUGACGGAGCAACGCCGCGUGAGUGAUGAAGGUCUUCGGAUCGUAAACCUCUGUUAUUAGGGAAGAAAAAAUGUGUAAGUAACUAUGCACGUCUUGACGGUACCUAAUCAGAAAGCCACGGCUAACUACGUG